rnacentral:rRNA from 1 species
GUCUAUGGCCAUACCACCCUGAACGCGCCCGAUCUCGUCUGAUCUCGGAAGCUAAGCAGGGUCGGGCCCGGUUAGUACUUGGAUGGGAGAAUCAGACACAACUUUCU